rnacentral:ncRNA from 1 species
GAACAUAAGAGUUUGAUCCUGGCUCAGAUUGAACGCUGGCGGCAUGCUUUACACAUGCAAGUCGGACGGCAGCACAGAGAAGCUUGCUUCUUGGGUGGCGAGUGGCGAACGGGUGAGUAACGCAUCGGAACGUACCGAGUAAUGGGGGAUAACUGUCCGAAAGGACAGCUAAUACCGCAUACGCCCUGAGGGGGAAAGCGGGGGAUCUUAGGACCUCGCGUUAUUCGAGCGGCCGAUGUCUGAUUAGCUGGUUGGCGGGGUAAAGGCCCACCAAGGCGACGAUCAGUAGCGGGUCUGAGAGGAUGAUCCGCCACACUGGGACUGAGACACG